CUGCGUUAGACAAAGGAUGCACUGGAGCCCCACCACACCUAAAGGCACGCUUUGAAGGAUCUGCCAAGCUCACUUUUAAUCAUGAGAAAGAAAUUACCCACAUGGAGUCAGCAGAAAAUGAGAAAGUCGAGCUCGUGCUGCGAAUAAUUCCAGCAAGUGCCAAGGGGCUAGUUGAGGAAUGACUUCAUGAGG
rfam:Procavia capensis cont1.17968, whole genome shotgun sequence.